rnacentral:tRNA from 2 species
GCUCUAGUAGCUUAAACCCUCAAAGCACCGUUCUUGUAAAACGAAGCUGGAUUUCCCCUUGAGCA